AGUGAACGCUGGCGGUAGGCCUAACACAUGCAAGUCGAACGGCAGCACAGGAGAGCUUGCUCUCUGGGCGGCGAGUGGCGGACGGGUGAGGAAUACAUCGGAAUCUACCUUUUCGUGGGGGAUAACGUAGGUAAACUUACGCUAAUACCGCAUACGACCUACGGGUGAAAGUGGGGGACCGCAAGGCACCACUCGAUUAGAUGAGCCGAUGUCCAAUUAGCCAGUUGGCGGGGUAAGGGCCCACCAAGGCGACGCUCGGUGGCUGGUCUGAGAGGAUGAUCAGCCACACUGGAACUGAGACACGGUCCAGACUCCUACGGGAGGCAGCAGUGGGGAAUAUUGGACAAUGGGCGCAAGCCUGAUCCAGCCAUACCGCGUGGGUGAAGAAGGCCUUCGGGUUGUAAAGCCCUUUUGUUGGGAAAGAAAUCCUGUCGAUUAAUACUCGGUGGGGAUGACGGUACCCAAAGAAUAAGCACCGGCUAACUUCGUGCCAGCCGCCGCCGUAAAAC
rnacentral:rRNA from 1 species